GGGGUCGUGGCCUAGUCCGGGAAGGCGGCUGACUCCAGAUCAGCCGAUCGGGGGUUCAAAUCCCUCCGACCCCA
rnacentral:tRNA from 25 species